AACGUAGGGUGCAAGCGUUGUCCGGAAUUACUGGGUGUAAAGGGAGCGCAGGCGGACCGGCAAGUUGGAAGUAAAAUCUAUGGGCUCAACCCAUAAAUUGCUUUCAAAACUGCUGGCCUUGAGUAGUGCAGAGGUAGGUGGAAUUCCCGGUGUAGCGGUGGAAUGCGUAGAUAUCGGGAGGAACACCAGUGGCGAAGGCGACCUACUGGGCACCAACUGACGCUGAGGCUCGAAAGCAUGGGUAGCAAACAGG
rnacentral:rRNA from 1 species